UCCGACUGCAGUUUGAGGGCAGCAGUCGUGCAGAAAGCGGCUGGGUUUUGCAGUAAAGCGGUGGAGAGGCUGCAGGAUUAUGUUCCUGUCCAGGAGCAUCUGAGCACACCUGCAUCUGCUGCUCCAUCCCAUCCUGCAGAACCUGGACCAUCUACACAGCAGCAGCUGCAGCAGGCUCCUGGAGAUGCACCACGGGAGGCCCCUGCCGCUGCCAAGGGACCGCUGUCAAUCAACACCUUUCUCAGUUCUUCCUGGGCGAGCGUGAGCUGUGUCUGCCGAUGGCGUAUCAUCAGUGCACGCUGCCCUCUGGAGGCCUGGAGGCACUACUGCGCCUCUGUCUGCUCGAUUCGGGUUUUCCUGCGUUCGUGGAGGAAGUCGAGGAGAAGCUGAAGGAGCUGACGCAAGAAUGAGGUAGAGCUGAAUGUUGUGAUUCUGAACUAAAACCAAUUCAUCUCAAUACAGAUGACAUAUACAUAUAAGAGAAAUAUUAGAGA